UGCAAUAUCAUGCAACGUAGAAAUAGAGUGUGAGGUUUGAGAAAAAUAAAGAGUGGUGUGAGAUUUGAGUGUAUUUGUUAUUAAGUUAUAAACUUUGUAUUGUGAGUGAUUUACAAAUAAAUAUUAGAGUGUUUUCUUAUUUUGGUUUAUAUAUUUGUGGUUAAUUUAUUAAUUGUGUAUUUACAAUAUACCAAUUAUAAUUCAACCCAAUAUUUAACCAACUAUUCUCUACAGAAACUCGGGAUUAUUUCCAUUUCUCCUUUUGAACAAGAAAAACAGCGUAUUUAAUUCAAUAGAUUAAACAUGGAAAAUUGUUUUCUGGAAUAGAACUGAAAACUGGUCAUCAUUUUUGUAUAAUUAAAAUGAUUUGGGGUAAAUAUAAAAAUUGCUGUUUUAAAAGAUUAAAUGAAGUCGUACACAAAAAAAAAACAAUACAAAGCCGUCCCGCGAUUAUUGUUUUCGGGAUUGUAAAUUCGACUCAAUAGCUACCAUUGAAUCAUUUUACAAGACUCCUACUUCGGUGGUC
rnacentral:sRNA from 1 species